GAUGAACGCUGGCGGCGUGCCUAAUACAUGCAAGUCGAGCGAACGGACGAGAAGCUUGCUUCUCUGAUGUUAGCGGCGGACGGGUGAGUAACACGUGGAUAACCUACCUAUAAGACUGGGAUAACUUCGGGAAACCGGAACUAAUACCGGAUGAUAUUUUGAACCGCAUGGUUCAAAAGUGAAAGACGGUCUUGCUGUCACUUAUAGAUGGAUCCGCGCUGCAUUAGCUAGUUGGUAAGGUAACGGCUUACCAAGGCAACGAUGCAUAGCCGACCUGGGAGGGUGAUCGACCACACUGGAACUGAGACACGGUCCAGACUCCUACGGGAGGCAGCAGUAGGGAAUCUUCCGCAAUUGGCGAAAGCCUGACGGAGCAACGCCGCGUGAGUGAUGAAGGUCUUCGGAUCUUAAAACUCUGUUAUUAGGGAAGAACAUAUGUGUAAGUAACAGUGCACAUCUUGACGGUACCUAAUCAGAAAGCCACGGCUAACUACGUG
rnacentral:rRNA from 1 species